rnacentral:rRNA from 1 species
AACGAACGCUGGCGGCAGGCUUAACACAUGCAAGUCGAGCGCCCCGCCAGGGGAGCGGCAGACGGGUGAGUAACGCGUGGGAACGUACCUUUUGGUUCGGAACAACUCCGGGAAACUGGAGCUAAUACCGGAUAAGCCCUAACGGGGAAAGAUUUAUCGCCGAAAGAUCGGCCCGCGUCUGAUUAGCUAGUUGGUGAGGUAACGGCUCACCAAGGCGACGAUCAGUAGCUGGUCUGAGAGGAUGAUCAGCCACACUGGGACUGAGACACGGCCCAGACUCCUACGGGAGGCAGCAGUGGGGAAUAUUGGACAAUGGGCGCAAGCCUGACCCAGCCAUGCCGCGUGAGUGAUGAAGGCCUUAGGGUUGUAAAGCUCUUUUGUCCGGGAAGAUAAUGACUGUACCGGAAGAAUAAGCCCCGGCUAACUUCGUG